AUACGUAGGUGGCGAGCGUUAUCCGGAUUUACUGGGUGUAAAGGGCGCGUAGGCGGGGAAGCAAGUCAGAUGUGAAAUCCAUGGGCUCAACUCAUGAACUGCAUUUGAAACUGUUUCUCUUGAGUGCCGGAGAGGUAGACGGAAUUCCUAGUGUAGCGGUGAAAUGCGUAGAUAUUAGGAGGAACACCAGUGGCGAAGGCGGUCUACUGGACGGUAACUGACGCUGAGGCGCGAAAGCGUGGGGAGCAAACAGGAUUAGAUACCCUGGUAGUCCACGCUGUAAACGAUGAAUACUAGGUGUGGGGGGACUGACCCCCUCCGUGCCGCAGUUAACACAAUAAGUAUUCCACCUGGGGAGUACGGCCGCAAGGCUGAAACUCAAAGGAAUUGACGGGG
rnacentral:rRNA from 1 species